rnacentral:rRNA from 1 species
GACGAACGCUGGCGGCGUGCUUAACACAUGCAAGUCGAACGGAAAGGCCUGCUUUCCCUUGUGGAUUGCGGGUACUCGAGUGGCGAACGGGUGAGUAACACGUGUGUGAUCUGCCCCCAACUUGGGUAUAAGCCUGGGAAACUGGGUCUAAUUCCCGAUAGGACUGCAGGGUGGUGCCUGUGGUGGAGAACGAUUUUCUAGUGGUUGGGGAUGAGCUCGCGGCCUAUGAGCUUGUUGGUGGGGUAAUGGCCUACCACGGCGGCGACGGGUAGCCGGGCUGAGAGUGCGGACGUGGACAGUGAGGAUGAGCAACGGCCCAGACACCGACGGGAGGCAGAAGUUGGGAAUAGUGGACGCAGUGCGGAAGAUUGAAGCAUGGGCGCAGGGCGGGUGAUGCCGGGCCGCGGGUGGGAAGCACGCUUCAGGCGUGAGGAAGCCUUCUGGUUGGGAGGGUGGUGACGGUAGUGGUAGAAGAAGCUCCGGCUAACUACGUG